UUCAGUCGCUGUAUCAGUUAUUUUACAGUCGUCAAAUGACCGCCGCAGGGAGACUUGUUCAGGCAUCCCCCCCCCCUCGCCCCAAUGGAUACUAGAGGGUCCGAAAUUUCCUGCACCGUAACGUUCUUCUCUCUAUCUGCACUUUCUAUAAUUUUUAUAUAAAAAGAUGGGCAAGCCAUUUAACGUGUCCUGUCGUCAUCGCAUUACUACACUCGAUUGACCACUUACUCUUUUGCAUCCUGUUCAGAAAGUCAAAGUCAUGCGAGCUGGAUUCAAGAGGAUCCGCACGGAGAUGUGGUGAGUGAAUCGUUAGACUAAAGAGGGACUGUCAACUUUACCGAAAUCGCCCAUCCAAGACAGAAAAAAGCUGAAGAUUUGAAAACAGUUAAUGAUACCGCAGAGUGAGGCGUAAAUCAGGCCAAUAUCAGAAUGUAAUAAUUUAUUAA